GACGAACGCUGGCGGCGUGCUUAACACAUGCAAGUCGAACGGAAAGGCCCUGCGUUUGUGGGUUUCUCGAGUGGCGAACGGGUGAGUAACACGUGAGUAACCUGCCCUUGACUUUGUGAUAACUUCAGGAAACUGGGGCUAAUACCGGAUAGGAUCUCCUGCUGCAUGUUGUUGGUUGGAAAGUGUCGGCGGUUGGGGAUGUACUCGAGGCUUAUCAGCUUGUUGGUGGGGUAGUGGCUUACCAAGGCUUUGACGGGUAGCCGGCCUGGGAGGGUGACCGGCCACAUUGGGACUGAGAUACGGCACAGACUGCUACGGGCGGCAGCAGUGGGGAAUAUUGCAAAAUGGGCGGAAGCCUGAUGCAGAAACGCAGCGUGCGGGAUGACGGACUUCGGGUUGUAAACCGCUUUCGCAUGUGAUGAAGAGUGCGUGACGGUAAUGGGUAAAGAAGCAACGGCUAACUACGUG
rnacentral:rRNA from 1 species